rfam:Sarcophilus harrisii ctg7180002440030, whole genome shotgun sequence.
GGUAAAAUGGCCAAGGAUAAGCAUUGAAUUGUAAAUUCAAAGACAGAGACUAGAUAUCUCCUUUUACCA